CUCCGACCACUACUCCGACCACUACUACGACCGCUACUACAACCACUACUUCACUAACUACUACAAAACCUGCCCAGAGUACCUCACAUGCUCCAGAACACCCCUCAGCCAUGGCAGCAGGAGUUAUUUUGACAACUAUCAGCAUAUUACUUAAAAACAUCUUUGUUUACUGAACAUGCUGGUGAAAGAUCUGUCAGAUUAUGGAGCACUACAUUUGUCUGUUUGGGACAUUUAAAAAUUGAAUUGUAUAUUUUGAGCUUUUUCAGAGUAGCUAAUAAAGUGAGAGCACAUUA